rnacentral:lncRNA from 1 species
UUCAACGGUGUCCAAAUCAUGCCGAUAUUCAAGUUUAAAUAUUUAUCCAGACGAGAAAAAGAAAAUUUGGUAAUAAAAUGGUGUGAACAAAAAUGAACCGUUCAUUAAGGAAUGUGGAGAAGGUGGAGCUUUUAAUUUGAUUCAACAUCGUACAAUUGACGUAACCAUCCAUUAGCCGAAAUACAAAUUGAAUUUUGUAGAAAAACGAUGGCGAUACAAUUAGCUGACAGCGGGCAGGGGCUGAUGAUGAUCACCAUUUUUGCUUAGAAAUAACCCAACAGCUGUCCAUCAUUUUCCUUUCGAAUAGAAACACAGGUAAUCCAAGUCGCCUUCUUAAAUGGCCCCACAAAUCCGAAUCUUUGAGAUAUUGCCUGCAUUCUUCCCAUGGGUGACUUGCUGCUUCUUAUAGUCGGGAAAAGGGUCGCUUUCUUCUGCUUUAUUUGGCGGAUGGACCCACCAAGUCUCCCUCCAUCUACUUCUUCAUCUUAAAAUUAUUGGAUGGUGUUUAGAUCGACCAUUUGUUAUUUUUCAGAUCCAUAUUUUAACUGAUUUUUAGUCUAAUUAAUUUAUUCAUUCGAUUCAAAUAAUACCGAUUUAAACUUUAAUCGAAUUGAAUUUUGGCCAUCAGAUUUCUUUACUCAAACUUAGUUUAGAUAGAAUAAAUAACCUGACGAAAGAAUAAAUAACACUCUUAAAUAACUUUUUAAGUAAUAAUAAAUUAUUAAUUAGAUUUAAUGUUUGUUUAUUGAAUAUGUUGUGAUUUUCUUUGUAAUGUGAACAUUUCUCUUUCAUGAAGGCAAUCCAAGCCGAACUUUGUCUGCAAAUUCCGAAGGGAUAAGCGCUGAUCCUUCCCUUUCCUUGGGUAUCAGGCCAAAUCAAGGGGAAUUUGAAACCAGCUGCUUUUGACAUUUUCUUUUCUGCAGAUUAGCCAAUGAUUGUAUAAAAGAUUGUAACAUUUCAAAGAUUACAAUGCCAGCAUUUCUUCUUAUAUCAUUUUAUUGGUAUUACUGAAAUGGAAAGAUGAAUUUGGUUUUGGCCGGUUAUCUGAAACAAUUAUAAUAUUUCAUUUGUAUAAACUUAUAGAAC